CAUCAUUACUUUCAAAAUUAUGCCUGGAAGUAUUCUUAAUUCACAAACACAACAAUUUGUGUUGAACUUGUGCGAAUAUUUUGAAAGGAAGAGGGCGUUUGGAGGACCUUUGUUACCAUUUUCAUCUGUUCAAGAGAGAGUUGCAGAUGCACUUAAAAUAUCU